rnacentral:rRNA from 1 species
CCUACGGGAGGCAGCAGUGGGGAAUCUUAGACAAUGGGCGCAAGCCUGAUCUAGCCAUGCCGCGUGUGUGAUGAAGGCCUUAGGGUCGUAAAGCACUUUCGCCAGGGAUGAUAAUGACAGUACCUGGUAAAGAAACCCCGGCUAACUCCGUGCCAGCAGCCGCGGUAAUACGGAGGGGGUUAGCGUUGUUCGGAAUUACUGGGCGUAAAGCGUACGUAGGCGGAUCAGAAAGUAUGGGGUGAAAUCCCAGGGCUCAACCCUGGAACUGCCUCAUAAACUCCUGGUCUUGAGUUCGAGAGAGGUGAGUGGAAUUCCGAGUGUAGAGGUGAAAUUCGUAGAUAUUCGGAGGAACACCAGUGGCGAAGGCGGCUCACUGGCUCGAUACUGACGCUGAGGUACGAAAGUGUGGGGAGCAAACAGGAUUAGAUACCCUGGUAGUCCACACCGUAAACGAUGAAUGCCAGUCGUCGGGCAGUAUACUGCUCGGUGACACACCUAACGGAUUAAGCAUUCCGCCUGGGGAGUACGGUCGCAAGAUUAAAACUCAAAKGAAUUGACGG